AAGGAAUGAGAAUCCUACAGUGCAACAGUGUGUUAGAGUGCAAAAAUCCCAGGCUCUAAACCCUGUAAGGGGUAAUACUGGUCGCAAAAGAGCAUUACAUGAUGAUACUCCCCUUCCUAAACGCUUCCUAAACGCAAACGGAACAAGAAAUAGCAUUAUAAAAUAUUAUCAUUCCAUGCACAAAAGAAUCACAGUAUUUUCAAUAAUUAAUUUUAUCACAGUAUUAGUUUUUGUGAUUACCUAGCUACUAGAACUUGAAGUCCCACUGACAGACUUUCGUAGUCCUGUUGAUUUUUGGGUGUUUCUCUUUUGAUCUGUCUUAUACACAUGUUGCCACAAUUGAGAAACCACGAAUUGUUAUCCAAAGCUGUAAGCUGUUCACUGUCUUCAAGAUUACUAAUAUCUAGGCUUAACAGAGCCCAGUAAAACUGCAACUCUUCGUUUUCCAAUAUUUUCUUGAGAACAUUCUCUUGAAAUUUGUCUUUAUCACAUGUGGUACGUAGAUAUGUAGAUAUGUAGGGAGCAAAGAACGAACACAAGUUUCUAUGUGAGCAAACAAUGUAUCAUUGAUUGGGAAAAGACCACCUCUAUUAGUUUGUUCUAGCGUAUAGGAUCAUCUUCCUUCUCCUUCUUUGACCUAAACACUGUAUAUACUGAGACUCUACAUCACCAUCUUUCUUUUCAUGUCUUUUGAGCAAUGUGCGGGCAACAUAACCACCAACAUAAUUAUCGAACAACGUUAGCUUCAUGUGUAGUGAGUUCAACGUUAUCGUCAGUGAGUGCACAACGAUAUUUAGCAAAGUAUGUAUACAAGCAUUUUUCAUACACCUUUUCAAAGCGACUGCUUUAAUAGAGGGUCGUUAUCACUCACAUUAAGUUUGGUUGCCAAUGUUUCCCACAUCAGGCAGUCUUUCAUUCUAUGAAAUAGAGACCAUAGCCUUUCCUUCUUAGAGCUCAAUGAUUGUAGUCUUGCAGUGGAAGACUUUAUUUCAGAUUGGAAGUAAUUUACGAGUUCUGAGCUGAACUUGCCAGUAUUUCUGGCUCUUUCAGUUUCUGCUUGUCCAAUAUGAGUUGUGCUGCAUGCCUUGCCUUAGUAGACCUUUCAUGGCAAGAAGACAUGCCUGCUUCUAGUGAGGUAGUGACAAUUUCCACAGCGAUCUUCUAGACAUUUUUAGGCGCCAAUCUCGCGCGCAAUGUCAACAGGAUGGACAGUUGCAAAAAUUGUUGAAUUAUCGACCCUGCUUGAAAAUGAAGACACCAGCAACGCUGCUCGAAAUUUGACCAAUAUCCGUCAACAGUUGACAGAUUUCAUUCGCUCUCUUUCCCGACACAAGAGAACAGCUGCUAGUAAUGUUUACGUCUUAAUGAUUAGCAGCGAGCAAAGACGGGUCAAGCCAUAUGCUAUCCCUAUCCAGCUUCUCCAAUCAACGAGGAUACCAUGCGUAUCAUAGUUCGUGCAGUACUGAAAGUCAUGAAGGAAUGAAAGUCGUUGGUAAGUGUAAAUAAAUGUAAAUAAAUGUUAGCCUAACACCCUGUAGGAUGUGGUAGCAGUUCAACUCUAUGAGGAAUCGAGGAUAUACAAGGCCCAUCUCCGUCCCAAAAUUAGAGCUAAAUAUGCUCGUCUGUCCGAAAGUACCAUGCUGGCCAUGCUUACCGUUGUUACUUUCCAGUAUGUGCAAGUCAACUGAUUGUAGCUGAGAAACCAAACUCAGUGGUACCACCAUCAUUGCUCUGUGAAUUGCUACUGUGGCGAUCUGUUCAGUCUCUUUCCUGGGAUGACAUUGUUUCACGUCUUCGUUCACGAACAGUUCCAAGUGGAUACGUCUAUCAUGCUUGGAAAUCAUGCUUGGAAAGACGAUGAUUAGUAUAUACCUUUUUAACGUCCUGUAACAGUAUACAUGCACAGUAUACAUGCACAACCAUGCAAUAUAAUUAUUAAUAUACAUGUACAGGAAUGUACGUACCUAUUAUGUAUACGCAGGACAAAAGAUUGAAUGUGAAGAGAAUGUUGACAAACUCAGGUCUAUUUUGGCCCAACUGGAGUUUACCCAGACUAUCCGUGACUAUGACUAGAAAGGUGCUUACAUGUCCCAGAAACACAUCCGGACACAGGUCACACUUGGUAUGAGAGGGAAGAUCCAGGUCAUGUGGAGAAGGUUUGUCUGUUGUACGUGCACAUGCAUUGUAUUAAGAGAAUGGCGAAUUGUACUAGACAGGGUGGACCUAAAACCGUCAAGUUUGAACGAUAUGUCGAGGCAAUCCAAGAAAAACUGGCCUCACCUACCCCGCUCUUGUUGGGCUUCGCAAGCAUGUGCAAGAUGCGGAGAUGCGGAGAGGAUGUUUUCUUUGCCUCUAGCUGAGUUCAUGGACCGGAAAGGUUACACUGAAGAGGCUAAAUACAUCUAUGCCGUCAAUGGUUGGAGGAGGGCUGCUGAUGAAAGAGGGCUUUCAAGUCUGCAAGUUAAUGCCGUGGCAUUCCAACCUAGAGGUCAACAAGAGUAUCACUGGUAUUUGAGGAUUUACACGACAAGUUUUGAUUGCGAAACUAUUGAAUUCAGACGAAUUGAGCUUCUGGAAGGAUUGCCAGCAGAACAUCCUCGUGCAAGAUGAUGUGGAGUGCUUUUUCAGCGUCACAAGAGAUCUUGUGGGCAAGAAUUUUACCCUCAAACAGGCCCAGAUCGGGUGGAGGAAGAUAUGUUGCAACCCCGACUUACCAUUCUACUAUGAGGGUGAGAGACCUUCUUUCGACGAUCAACCAGCAAGGCAGAAGAAGGGCCAACGACUGCCAGUCGUGGAAGCAGGAGCCGAAGUGGUAGAGAUGUGAGAGCAAGAGAUGUGAGAGCAAGGUUCCACAAUCCAGUGUUCCUAUUAACGUCACUGAACAUUCCUACCGUUCAGACUCUCAAAUUAUAGUAGCUGAACAGUCAUUUAUUGUUAUCUGUUAAAACAUUUGAACUUUCAUAAUUAUAGUAGCCGAACAGUCAUUAAUUGCUAUCUGUUAACGGUUCAAUUGGGUGUGACUACGUGUGAAUAUACACGACUAUGUAUUGCUAUGAAAAUGUACUUCUUGCUUCUCUUACUUUCUCCAGUUUUUGUUGCAUAAAACUUCCUCAAGAUUUUGUACUUAACCCAUGCAAAAUCGACUGACAAAACAACAUCAUUGUCGAUUGCAGCUUGAACGUCCUUACAAAUCUCCGAGACCAUUCACUGUCAUGAAAACAUUUAAAAGCAAUUGCACUAGCAUCAUAGAGAUUUUCUGGCUCUGGAAAUAGCUUCACUGGUACAGUAUCACCUGACUGCAUCUUAUCUCGUACAUCGCCAAGAAUGGUCUGGUACACUGGAUCUCGGGUAACACCAAUGCAUUUACACAACUUUGGGGGGGUGUUUCUUCAUUAGAGCUUUGACUGUCAUCACCAUCAUAGUCAUUGUCAUCUUCAUCCUCCGAGUGGCUUGUCCACUCCCACUCCCAAACAAUCCUUUCUCUGGAACACUUCUCAGGUGCCUCGCGUAUACAACCUUACAGAAUUCCUCGACCUGUAGUAUAAUAAAAGCCGGUACAAGGUACAAUAAUUAUAGAUUUAUACACUAUAGCUAGCAGAAUGGAGUGGUGGUGUUUUGGAAGGCUAUGGUGAGAGUGAAUAAAAACGUCCUUGCCUGAGAGAGACGUGAAUUACCGAGAAACUCGGUAUGGUGUACAUAAAAUCCACACUCAGGUCCAACACUGACAGACUCAUUAAUCCGAGGCGCGUUUAUAGUAGUCUGUCUGUUUGUUUGUUUGUAACGAGUAUAUCUACUCACCUGGAUGCCAUAGCACUGCGUUUGCAGCAUAGGUAGUCUUCACACAACAAUAUCUUGGUUUAAAUAGUGGCAGAUUUUGAUGUUAAAGCUUCUUUGUCGAGUAAAAGCGAGCAAAAGCUAAGAAGCUUAAACUUGCCACGUGGCCUUGAGUCAAGGUACGGGAUCACUUCAGCUAAAAAUAUCUAGUCAAGGCUUGAUUAUGUAUUUUCAGCUGAAGUGAUCCCGUACCAGGAACAAUUGAAUACUGUCAAGAAAAAGUAGAAUUGUGUGACUAAGGUUGUUGACUGACUCUGGAUCCUAUACGUACUCCAGCCUGGAAGGAGCCAUACUUCUCUUAGUCUAAGACUCCAGGCUUCUUUGCUGUGAUCCCAGUCCAUGUGCACGUUGUUACUUUAGUUUUGAGUUUUGUUUUAUUGCUCCUGAGUUGCUCCUGAGUUGCUGUGCAAGUCAUACAUGUACAUGAUAAAUACAUGUACAUGAUAACAACAUCACUAUAUGCACUGCAUUAUAUUUCUGGUUGCUUUUUAAUCAUGUCACCAGCCGAGGGUUUGCACUUUAGUGCUCUAGUUCCAUCUGCAAUGGUUACUUCAUAAUCAUUGACAGGCCCAGGCCCAGAUGCCAUUUCUUUUUUAUGCCUGCUGAUUCAGCAUAAUUCCGUUCCACGUGGGAUGGAAUUUUAUUUGUUAAAAAUAAUUAAUAAUAAUAGGGAAAUUUUUUUUAGUAUCCUACUUAUUAUAUCGGAGUCUUACUUAUUAUAUCGGACUCCUACUUAGGACUAGUAUAUUGGACUCUUACACUAGUGUGUUGAAUAGCACACUACUUUUCACUACUAAAUUUUAGUGUGUGUGUUCACUGAUGUGUGUGUUCACUGACACUCGAUUGUGUGUAAUAGAACACUCAACUGCACAGUGUGUAACAGUUUAAGUACAAGGUGCUAAUGUUAAAGAAUUUUACUCAAUGACAUUGCUCUAAAAUCUCAUUGGUUAGUUUGUAGUUUUCUCACUUCACUGCCACAUGUUUCUCUUUGAAACUCAAGAGAACCAGCUUGGAGAAGUUGGAGCUAGCUGAAGCAACAACUUGAUCUAGUCUAGAUAUAAUAUAAUGAUAUAAUAGUAUCUACCAGUUCUCCAAGGUCUUUUGGUCAAAGAGAGAUCAAUCCAGCACCCAAAGAGGCGAGGACACGAGUGUAUCAAAGCAAGACAGCUGUACAUAUAGCCAUAUAGCCCCAUAUAGCCAGGAGUACUCAGUCCUGAUAAUAGCAGCCAUUUGUUAUACACUAUAGAGGUAUAUCUUUUUACACAGGGAGCUUGUCUACAUGUCUAUGCCAUGCCAGUGAAUAAGAACCAAGAACAAUGUCAAUUCUUGAUGCUGAAGAAUGUGGAGACAAACAUGAAGAGCCCAUGACAAGCAUGGUAUCCGUCAGACUGCUCAGUGUGACCAAAUGGAAAAUCUAAGUGCGAUCAAACCGUACCUUUGGGUUACUACCAUCACUGGUAAUCAUGAAGCCUCUCUUGCACUCCUUGCGAACAGUACGACCUCUCUAUCGUCACGGUGGUACCGCAUUCUUCUCCGCAUGUCCAGAUGCAUAAUUAUGCUCGGCACCUCACUAUUCUGCUCAGCAGAUUUAGCCCCAGAAAACGAGUUGAAGCCGCUGAUGUUCACCAGUCUCUCUCUAGUAAAAUGACAUUCUGAAGAAUGUUCAUGUUACUGGGGUCGAUAGAGUGGCUGUUUCAAGUGUCAAAGAACGAAAAAAGCCCUUGAGAAAGCCCAGUUUUAUCGGGAUCUUGCCGAACGUAUACAAACUGAGAAGCGUAAAAGAGUGUAUGAACUAAAUGACAAGAUUGAAUUGGUUCGGAACUUUUGGCGUAACAAAGUAUGCAAAGGUUCCUCAAGAGCAGAUUGUACAGAAAGCCUUAUUGAAGAAUUGAAGAAUAGGUUCCGUACUAUAAUUAUAAUUGUUAUGUUCAUUCGUGAUAUCAAAUCAUAAAUUAUAAUAGUGUGCAUUAACAAGAAAUGUGCAUUAACAAGAAAGGACAAAGUACAUGAAAUUACGUAUAACACCUAAUAGCGUGCAUUAACAAGAAUGCUAUGAAUUAUUGGACAUAUAUAUAAGGUACAUUUAAUUUCAUAAUUAUUAUCUAUAAAAGGGGUGAAAUUAUUAAAACAGAGUCUUCUCCUAUCCUUCUACCAAAGUUGACCUUUUGCUUAGAAUAAGCCUUGAGAUGAUCUAUCGGUAUGAAACAGACAUCUGGACAAGUAACACACGACCAAACUUCCGUAGGAUAUCCAAACCACACCACACUUUGCACUCGUGAGGAAAGUAGAAACAAAGAGCAGCAUAGUCAAGUCCAGUUUGACACACGUCAACGUCAAACGAGAAAAAGUACUGCAGGGACAGUAAAUUUGUAAAUUUCAUUAUAAAAAAUGAACGUUCGGUGAGUGACCUGUUUAAAGCUUCGUAGAGACCCAAAUUGGGUUGAAGUUGGCGCCUGUGAAAAAAAAUUUUUUUUGCCAUGUUUUUCAUUUCUACUAAAUUGGCCUAUAGCUUAAUUUAAUUAGUGCCGCGUUAAAGGGGGGUUUUCCUAGGCCAUAAAUAAAAAGUUUGCGUGAAACACUUAAUCCACGCAUGUGCAGGAAAAUUGAUGAAUAAGCUCAGAGGAGGCUGGAACCACUUGACCAUAGCUAAUUAAGGUCACUAAUUGGAUUUCUCCAAGCUUCUCUUGCACUACUUCAAGCCUAGUUUUUAGUGUGGAUAUAAUCAAAAGUAUAAUCAAAAGUCUUGCUCUUGUACUAGCCUGAGCGGCUUGUUCUCGAGGUCGCUGCACAGCUGGCUUUAAUGCUGCUUUUGUAAUUAUAGUAGCUAGCAGUCACAACAUACUCUUAGCCGUAAUGGCUAGCUCCAAGGUUGCAAUAACCAGUAGCUCUAUGCCUAGCCGCAGUAACAAACAAUUGCUUCUCCGCAUGUUUAACGCAAUCGUUUGAACAUGCAUUUUAUAAAACAGAACGGGAACUGAUUGAUACUGUACAGGCACAAAUACUCUGUUGUGGUACUUGCUUUGCUACCAGGCACAGUGCAGGUAUUGAAAGUGGGCUGAAACAGAAGGCCUGUUGUACUGUGGACUGGAUUAGUCGCACUUCGGAUAGGGACAUUAGAGACUGAUAGAGGGACUUCAGCAGACGUGCUUGGCGUAACACCGUUAGAGCGGGUAG